UACGAAGGGGGCUAGCGUUGCUCGGAUUGACUGGGCGUAAAGAGCGUGUAGGCGGCCUGAAAGGUCAGCUGUGAAAACUCGAGGCUCAACCUCGAGACGUCGGUUGAAACCAUCUGGCUAGAGUCCGGAAGAGGAGAGUGGAAUUCCCGGUGUAGCGGUGAAAUGCGCAGAUAUCGGGAAGAACACCCGUGGCGAAGGCGGCUCUCUGGGACGGUACUGACGCUGAGACGCGAAAGCGUGGGGAGCGAACAGG
rnacentral:rRNA from 1 species